rnacentral:rRNA from 1 species
AUUGAACGCUGGCGGCAGGCCUAACACAUGCAAGUCGAGCGAGCGGCGGACGGGUGAGUAAUGCCUGGGACUUGCCCAGUCGAGGGGGAUAACAGUUGGAAACGACUGCUAAUACCGCAUACUAUUGGAUUGCCCAGGUGGGAUUAGCUAGUUGGUGAGGUAAUGGCUCACCAAGGCGACGAUCCCUAGCUGGUCUGAGAGGAUGAGCAGCCACAUUGGGACGGAGAUACGGCCCAGACUCCUACGGGAGGCAGCAGUGGGGGAUAUUGCACAAUGGGCGAAAGCCUGAUGCAGCGACGCCGCGUGGGGGAUGAAGGCUUUCGGGUUGUAAACCUCUUUCGCUAUCGAACGGGUAGGUGGAGAAGAAGCGCCGGCUAACUACGUGCCAGCAGCCGCGGUAAUAC